GUCUCUUUCCAGAUGGUGAAGGGUGGGAAUGUGUGAUAAGCUGAGGCUUUUUAGUUUCUCUUGACAGGGACACCACUGAAAAUUUCCAAGCCUUAGGGACACCUAGUACAAUCACCUGAAUUCCGUCUUCAUGGCCUUGAUGACUUCUACAGGGACUCUAAAUUUAGAGGUUUAGAGCACCUGCACAGCUCAUACAUUUCAUAGUGUUUCCUUGAUUAUCACAGCCAUCUUCAAGCCCUGGUUCUGAGCCAGCUUUACCCCCCACCCCACCUCACUAAACACAGUCUGCUCCCCGCAUAGUCACUUCCAGAUUUGCCUCUUUACUGACUUUUGCAACUUACAAGAGUUGAUCUGGGUUUUAAUGGAAUGCACAUCAGACCUGUGGCUUCUGCUGACUUACUUUAGAAGGAAGCAAAGGUGGGAAUAAAAUAAGACUUAAAGUAUAUUGCCUGUGGGUAUGUUUUCCAUCUUAUAAGUUGUGUGGAAAUUCUGUGAUCUGUGUCAUGCAUCCAGGGGGAACAGUUGAGAUCAGGGGUAGGCAACAUUUUACCAUUCAUGGACUAAAGUAGGUGGGCCACUGCUGCCGCUUUCCUUGAUGACAAAUCCCCCAGCCACUACUGUCACCUUUGAUUCCCUCCUUGCCAAAUUGCCACCAUCACCCUGGCUUCCCAUGCUGGUUAAAAUAGCUUUGAGGUCCCAAUCCAGCCUACAGUUCACAGAUCCAACCCUUGAUCAUAAAAGUCUUCUGCCCUUAGUAUCUCUAACUCCAUAUUGUCCAUGGAAAGAAAACUGGGUUCAUUUAAGAUGACUUUAAU